AGAUGUGAGGGCAACCUGGCUGUGACAUGUCACUGCAUUGAUCGCCAGGGCUGAUUUGGCUGAUCUGGCUGGACAGGCAGGUGUCCCCUUUCUUAGCACUCCAUGUGCUUCUCUCCCAAAGGUGUGCACUCGGUUAGAGAGGAUGACCAUCUUGGAUGGAGGACUAAUCUUCAGUCAAGGGUAUAUAGGUAGCUGCACUCCCCGCCAGAGCCUCCAAACAAACUCUCAGGAAAUCAGCAAGCAUUUAGAAGGUGAAGUGAAUAGAAGGAAGAGUUAAAAUUCCCCAAAGUGAGGUUAAUUU
ensembl:misc_RNA 7SK 7SK RNA